AGUGAACGCUGGCGGUAGGCCUAACACAUGCAAGUCGAACGGCAGCACAGUAAGAGCUUGCUCUUACGGGUGGCGAGUGGCGGACGGGUGAGGAAUACAUCGGAAUCUACUUUUUCGUGGGGGAUAACGUAGGGAAACUUACGCUAAUACCGCAUACGACCUACGGGUGAAAGCAGGGGAUCUUCGGACCUUGCGCGAUUGAAUGAGCCGAUGUCGGAUUAGCUAGUUGGCGGGGUAAAGGCCCACCAAGGCGACGAUCCGUAGCUGGUCUGAGAGGAUGAUCAGCCGCACUGGAACUGAGACACGGUCCAGACUCCUACGGGAGGCAGCAGUGGGGAAUAUUGGACAAUGGGCGCAAGCCUGAUCCAGCCAUACCGCGCGGGUGAAGAAGGCCUUCGGGUUGUAAAGCCCUUUUGUUGGGAAAGAAAAGCAGCAGGUUAAUACCCCGCUGUUCUGACGGUACCCAAAGAAUAAGCACCGGCUAACUUCGUG
rnacentral:rRNA from 1 species